AAAAGAUGGGAGGUGGGGGAUUAAAAGAGUGGGGCCUUGAGGUGACGUCAUGUGGAACCCCACCCCAACGGUAGUCUUAGGGCAACGGGGCCCAUCUGCUGCUCUGAUAAGCCAGCAAGGCAUCUCCCAGUUGCUCCUGUGGCUAUUGAACUCUGGAACAUGUUGGUUGUACGGUUGGUGAUGUGUUUCACUUCCUGCUUAUUUGGUUUAGAAGUCUCUGUAGACUGUAGCUUAAUUAUGAGUAGUUGGGGGAUGAGCAUGAGGAUGAUAUAAUUAAAACUGGAGUCUGUUUUUAAACUCUGCCUCCAAAAUAAAAAAGGGGAAGGGGAAAAUGAAAAAUAGGAUGCUAGCUUUAUUGGUCACUUUAAAAAAAAAAAAAAUCCAUUUAUUAUUAAUUUUUAUGUUUUUAUUAAUUAAAAAAUUAUAGAUAUUUAAGAUAUUCAUGUGGUACUAAAUGUUGGAAUUUUUAAAAGGUUUUAAUUUUUUUAACCUUUUGAUUUGUUUAAUUAUUUUGGUUGUUUUAUUUUAUUCAUAGUGGGGGUUAUAAAUAUUUAAUUUUCAAGUUUUAUUUCUAUAUUGAAUACCUUAAUUUUUUGGUUUAAUAUGGUGGAGGUUAUAUAUUCUUGGAUGCGUAUAAAAGGCCAAUCCUCCUUCAUAUUUUAUAUAAUAAUACAAUACCAUACUACCACAACCACCACUACAAUCUGAUUAUCUCAUCUUCUACCUUUCAUACUUUCUCUACUUAUAUUAUUAUUUUUGAGCAACAGUUCUGUGACUUGGAGACCCAUAUCCGAUUGUGAACAUGCUCAUAGUGGACCUUGAACCUGUGUAUUGG
rnacentral:lncRNA from 1 species